rnacentral:SRP_RNA from 1 species
UUGUUAGCCCUAUGCAAUAGAGUUUGUAAGCAAUGCUUCAGGAUGGGAACAUAGCAGAGCACUUGCAAAUUUUAUGUGCCAUUGGUUCCUGACAGAA